rnacentral:lncRNA from 1 species
CAUCGGUCUGCCGAUGAGUGAGCAUCUCCUAGUCGAAAGCUUAUCAGUUUUUAGAUAGCCUGUAAUAGUUUGUCGCUCCCGUGCUUGUUUAUUGUGCUUUUUGAAUUCAGUUAGCCUAAAAGUUUUUACAAAUAAUACUACUUAGUGACAAAUAUGGCAGAUAAAUGUAAAAAAUGUAUGAUGUUACUUUGUUACACAAGUGAAAGACAGUGUCAAGUGUACCUCCUGUAACAGUGCCUUUCACCCGACCUGUUUGGAUAGAACUGACUCCAACGAUCCAAAUAAAAAAUCAUCCCUUCGAAAAACUGGAAAUGUGAACAAUGCAAUCAGAAUGAUCGUCAUGAUAAAGCCUGUGACCAGUCAUGAGACAUUCUUGAAGUUAUAAAUGCAUUCCGAAAAGAAAACAAUGAGAAACUCGACGCUAUGCAGGGCAAUUUGAAUAAGGCCACUAUCGGUUGGAAUGACUUAAAAAUCAGAUUUGUUGACACGAGGUGCUACAUCAAUAUUAAAUUUAUUAAGACAGUACGUCCGCAUAAAACAAGAGAUCUCUGCCAUACGUCGCUCCACAGGAUUAGCGCUGGGGUUAUAAAGAGAAGUUCUCGACCAUUUGAUAUUAGCCAGGUGAAGUAUUUCUUUCCACUGCUUGCUACAGGAAUAGGUUGCAUUAUCAGAUAGGAUACGUUUAGGCUUUCCCACUUCAUUAGACAUCUUCCUGUUACACAUGGCCAAGGCUUCUCCUGUUGAUUUACCAGUGUGAUUUUGUGGUUGGAUAUUGGGGGGGUAUGGUAUGCUUCCUUUAUUCUUUACGGCAAAACACUUUAGUUUGGUAUCUUGACAAUAUGUGGCAUCUAUUUCUCUGGAUAGAAAGACGGCAGUCUGGUUUUUCUUUCCUGGUAGAUGGUUUAAUUCGAUAUCAUACUCUUGAAGUGCAAGAAACCAUCUGGAUAAGCGGUUAUGAUUUAAUUUGGCUGAUUUAAAGAAUGUUAAGGCUUUGUGGUCUGUGUUGAUAAAUACCUUAUUGCCGAGUAACAAUGUUCAGUAUUUGGUACAUACUUCAACAAUACUUAACAAUUCUUUCUCAGUUACAGAAUAUUGAUGCUGUGCUGAAUUGAGUGUUUUACUGAAAAAUGAUAACACUCCUUUCUCUCCUUGAUUAUCUUCUUGGAAAAUCUCUGCACCUAUCGCAUAAUCCGAUGCAUCAACAUUCAAGAAAAAAGGUUUCUUCAAAUUAGGGUGUUUCAGUAAAACAGAGUUUAAGAAUGCUUCUUUUAGUCGUUGAAAUAUGGCUUCUCCAUUAUCAGUCCAUCUCCAAGGUUUGGUGCUGAAUAAUAUGUGACUGAGCUGGGCGGUGUAGUGUGACAUUUGUUUGUUAAAACGGCAGUAGAACUGUAGAAAUCCAAUAAACUUUUGUAGUUGUUUGCGGUUGAUUGGUGAUGGAAAAUGUCUGAUAGCUACUACUUUAUUUGGGUCCUGUGAUAUGCCGGUGGGUGUAAUUAUAUGUCCUAGAUAUUUCACUUCAUUUGCAAAAAAUUCGCACUUCAAUAGCUUCAAUUUCAGUCCACUAUUGAUCAAUCUAUCAAAUACUGUAUCCAGAUGCUGGCAAUGUUCACAUAUAUUUUGUGAGGCUAUCAAUCCAUCGUCCAUGUAUAGUGAGCAAUAGUCUCUGAUAUCGUUUCCUAGCGCCUGUCUUAGACAUUGUAUAAAUAUAGCCAUAGCAUUUCGCAAUCCAAAUGCUAAACGAGUGAACCUGUAAUUACAUCCAUUGAACAAAAAUGAUAAAUAAUCGUGUGACUCCGGUGCUACCUGGACUUGCCAGUAUCCUGCGCUCAAAUCUACCAUUGAAUAUAUGGUUUUGCUUUGGAAUGUUUGCAUGACCUGUUCAAUCUGGUCGGGUCCUUCUCGGUCAUCAUCCAGUAUGUGGUUCAAAGCGCAGGCAUCUAGACAUAGUCUUACUGUUCCAUCCUUCUUUGCCACACACACAAUCGAUAGGCUAUAGGGUGCUGUUGAUUCUUCUAUGAUUCCCAGUUGUUCCAUGCGGGUGAUUUCUGCUAUAGCAGCCGGUCGAUAGGUGAAGGGUAUGGGGUAUGAUUUGCGGUGGUAAGUAUCAUGUGGCCUAACUUUGAGCAUACAUUCAAAGUGAGUAACUAGUCUGGGUUGUUCAGAAAAAAUGUCUGCAUUUUUAUAGAAUACUUGAAUUAUUUCAUUUCUAAUGUCAGGGUGCCAAUCUGUAUGCUGAUGGAUUUUAUUUAUCAAAAUCUCUAAUAAUUCUUCAGUAUUAGAGUCUGCUCCUGGCUGUACCUGGUUCUCAGUUGUUAGACUUAAUACUUCCAUAUGCUCCAUAGCAUUCUCGAUUUUGUGGAUACCCCAUAUCCUCGGCACACCUUCCAUGUAAUGAGCAAAGUGUAUCUCCGUGACUUCUUCAGUGCGUUUUUUCAAAUCCAGUGGUACUAUAACUUCGUGUGAUUCAGGUUCGGUAAUAGCAUGAAAUUUCAAUGUUUGGAAAUUUAAGCAGGCUUGGAAAUGUUAGAGAAAAUCUGUGUCUAUUAUUAAGUGUGGACUACACAGGUAAUACAAGAAAUGUAUAAGCGAAUUGUUGUUGUUGAAGGUCUAUUUCCAGUAAACAUUGGGUAGUUAUGUGUAUUUGCCAUCCUGGACUGAUGCCUGAUACAUAUACAUUUGUUAGCGGUAGAAUAGCUAAUUUUGUUUUUUCUUUUAGGCGUUGAAAUAUAUCCACUUGUAUAAGGCUACAAUGUGAACCACUAUCUACUAACGCUUGAACCUUCAAUCCAUAUAGUUCGAUAUCAAUAUAUGCUUGCAUCUGUGUAUCGGGCAUCCUGCAUUCUUUUUCUGGUUCUUCUAAUUAAAUUUCUGGUAAAUCAUUCAUGAAAGUGGUAUAUGAUGCUGAAGUAUCUUUAUUUUCUUCAUCUAUUUUUUCUGAGCUUGUGUGUGUUAUAUUGGGGGUAUCAUAUAGUCAUGAUUGUUUAGCUGUAGUUUUCUCUGUGUUUGGUGGUGGAUUAUCAGGUGUUGGGUUCUGUGUUCUUUGUUGGUUUAAUCUGGUUGCAUGUGCUAAUGUAUAGUUUGUACUUAUUUGAUGUGGUGGCGGUUUAUAAUUUCUGUUAUAAUUAUUGUGAACAUAACCAUUAUUAGUGUUCAAUCGAUCACGGCCAUCAUAAUAAUUUCUUCAAUUUGUUUGCUGUGGAUAAUGGUUUGUUGGAAGAUUUUGAAAACUUCUAUUAUUCUAGUUAUUAUUUUGUUUCUGAUUAUUGUGACGCUCAAAAUGAGGGGUAGGUCAGGAG